GAAAUCCUAAAAUUGAACAUGAAAAUCCGCUGAGACAUUAAAAUAUCUUCACUGAUAUACUUCCAGCAAAAGAGGUAACUUGAUCUCUAGGACAAGUGAGUCCAGGAGCACACAGUGGAAUGUAGUGAGCAGAGCACUGCCUUCAGAGCGAGGAGCAACGCAGGUGAGAGGCAGCAAGACUGCUACCCUGCCAUGCAGCACAGCCACCCCUCUGUGCCAGCUGACACACAGGCCACACAAGAACACAGUCCAUGUCACUGGAUCAUCACAGUCUUCAAGAGCUGCCAGAAAUGCAGAUCUGCCGUGACAUCUUCCAAUUCUAAAUGUCAGCCACUAGUCUUAUUGUUUGAAUACACUAAGCCAACCUAACAAAACAUGUCUGCAGGCCACAGGGGGCCUCUGAGCCAUGCAAACUCUGCUUCCGAACCGCAAAGACCUGGACCUGAAUCCUCAUUCAGCCACUUACUAACUGUAUGACCUCAGAGUCUCGAUCUGUCACCCAGGCUGGAGUACAGUGGCACGAUCUUGGCUCACUGCAACCUCUGCCUCCCAGGUUCAAGUGAUUCUCCUGCCUCAGCUUCCCGAGUAGCUGGGAUUACAGAUGGAGUCUCAUUCCAUCGCCCAGUGGCGCGAUCUCAGCUCACUGCAACCUCUGCCUCCUGGGUUCAAGCGAUUCUCCUGCCUCAGCCUCUCAAGCAGGUGGGAUUAUAGGCGUGUGCUACCAUGCCCGGCUAAUUUUUGUGUUUUUAGUAGAGAUGGAGUUUUGCCAUGUUGGCCAGGCUGUUCUUAAACUCCUGACCUCAGGUGAUCCACCCUCCUUGGCCUCUCAAAGUGCUGGGAUUACAGGCGUGAGCCACUACACCCAGCCUGGCCAUAAACUUUUGAUGGGCUCAUGUACCAAAACCUAAACUUCUGCUUCAUGUUUUCUAAGACUAUUUUAUUAAUUUGUCCAACUUAAGGUUUUUCCUCUAUUCCUCAAUAUCCUUCUGAGAAGGAUACAUUUCAAUAAAGUUUAAUUAGAUAGAUACAUUUAAUGUCAUGUUUAAAUGACAUUUUUCACAUUACUUCCUUCUUGGCAGUUUCCCUUUAAUCACCUAGCACUUUUAUUGUAAAGUUUUUUCACUAAACAUGGUCUUAUUUAAAUGAAACAGAAGAGUACUAGAAAAGAGAUAUUCCUGUUAUGUUAUGGUUUGUAGAUUCCAAUAGUUCAUCUGCACAUGUAAUAUCCAAUGACUACUUUUCUUCCAUAGUUGCUAAGUUUUUAAGUAAACCACAACCACAUGUGAAGUUUCAAUUAUUUUUGCCCACAUUGGAUUAAGUGUGCUUCAUCAACUUGGAUUAUAAACAAAACAAAAUUACACCUACUUAUUGCCAUUAUAAUUCAUAGUUACCAUCCUC